AUAUACACAUAAAGAGAAUGUUGUUCAAAAACAUCAAAAUCAGGAAUUUAUUGAAGCUUUCCAUAGGAUUAGGUAGGGACAAACAUUUACAGGUACUUUAACAGAACCAGUACUGAGAGCAGAUUCCUUUCUCUCCAUUAGAUUGCUAGGCAAAGAAUCAUUCCUCUUAAGCACAGCUCCCUCUCAAGACCAUCUACAGAGGCACUCAACUAACGCAGUCAUGCUUACAGUGGAGCAAAGAUGUCAUACAGUUAUAGAAAAUAGAUGAGGGGCAGUUUUAACCAUUACAUAUACAAUGCUGUGUGUGUAGUUACCUCAGGAGCAGAACCACAGCAUACAGCAUCCAUGAACACAACUAAAACACGUACUUCAAGAUGAUGCUGUACUGAAAGAACAGAAACAAAACACGAAGAAAAAAUACAGGGUACAAAUUAUGUUCCAACAAAAACUUGAAUAGGUAAAUUUCACUUGGUGCAAAAAUGAAUGACACAUUACUCUUGGUAACAAAUUUAGCUUGAUUGGCAUAUGUUAUCAUUUUAAAACACACAAUAUCAAAUACCUCAAGGACAAUCGUGUGCUCAAGUGCAAUUUUCAGCCCUAACUCGAGUGGCAUCUUGUACGUACAUUUUAUGGCUUACUGGGUAAACAGGUCCAUAUAAACUUUAAAGUUACAGAGACACGGCUUAUAAACAAACUAUGCUACAAUAAUAUCUUGGCGAAAAACUAAUAACCAGCUAAUAACCAUACAUAGUGUAAACAUGGUAAACCACACUGUACAUCCUGUCCAUGAUAUUUACAAGUUAGUUUGUUGACUUCCCCGUGUAGUAGACAAUCGCAAAAGCGCCAGAUCACGGUGCUGAGCUAGUUCAAACAUCUGCUGCACUAGCUUCAAAAAGCCCCAAUGCUAGACAUCACAUUCUGAAAACAUUAAAACACCACACACUUCUGACUCCUGCACUUACACGUCUGAUUUAAAAAAGGUUGUCCUUUAACAUAACGCAAAUUCACACCAUAAGGUACCUUGUUCUUAACAAUAUCAUGAUAUAGUAUGUGGGGAGGACUUGAUGGCUCUUUGGGGUAAAUGCACUUUUUAAACAGCAUCAGAGUUUGCUUUCUUCCCAUCUCUCAUUAUAUGUAACAAAACUUCUGAGUGCAACACAGGAGCGCUUCUACUACCAUCAGGAAAUGUGCAAAAUCUGCUCUAAAGCAAAGUGACAGUGUUGCGAAUUCUAAUGUACAAGGUACUGGGAGAAGGGGUCUUGUAGAAACCCAGUGAAGACCCUCAAUCUGACAUAUAUA